UACGUAGGGGGCGAGCGUUGUCCGGACUUACUGGGCGUAAAGGGUGCGUAGGUGGCCUUUUAAGUUGGAUGUGAAAUACCCGGGCUUAACUUGGGGGGUGCAUCUAAUAUUGGGAGGCUAGAGUGCAGGAGAGGGAAGCGGAAUUCCUAGUGUAGCGGUGAAAUGCGUAGAUAUUAGGAGGAACACCAGUGGCGAAGGCGGCUCUCUGGACUGUAACUGACACUGAGGCACGAAAGCGUGGGGAGCAAACAGG
rnacentral:rRNA from 1 species